GUGGGUAACCUGCCCAAGAGAUCGGGAUAACACCUGGAAACAGAUGCUAAUACCGGAUAACAACAGAUGAUGCCUAUCAACUGUUUAAAAGAUGGUUCUGCUAUCACUCUUGGAUGGACCUGAGGUGCAUUAGCUAGUUGGUAGGGUAACGGCCUACCAAGGCGAUGAUGCAUAGCCGAGUUGAGAUACUGAUCGGCCACAUUGGGACUGAGACACGGCCCAAACCUCCGUACGGGAGGCAGCAGCC
rnacentral:rRNA from 1 species